rnacentral:rRNA from 1 species
UACAGGGGGGGGCAAGCGUUGUUCGGAAUUACUGGGCGUAAAGGGCUCGUAGGCGGCCGGCUAAGUCCGACGUGAAAUCCCCCCGGCUUAACCUGGGGAACUGCGUCUGAUACUGGAAGGCUCGAGUUUUGGGAGAGGGAUGCAGAAUUCCAGGUGUAGCGGUGAAAUGCGUAGAUAUCAGGAGGAACACCGGUGGCGAAGGCGGGGUCUCUGGGCCGAUACUGACGUGAGGCACGAAAAGCGUGGGGGAGCAAAACAGG